rnacentral:rRNA from 1 species
CCUACGGGAGGCUGCAGUGGGGAAUUUUGGACAAUGGGGGCAACCCUGAUCCAGCCAUGCCGCGUGCGGGAAGAAGGCCUUCGGGUUGUAAACCGCUUUUGUCGGGGAAGAAAUCCUCUGGGCUAAUACCUCGGGGGCAUGCCGGUACCCGGAGAAUAAGCACCGGCUAACUACGUGCCAGCAGCCGCGGUAAUACGUAGGGUGCAAGCGUUAAUCGGAGUUUCUGGAGGCAAAGCUGCAGCACAGGGGCGAAAUCCCCGGGCUCAACCUGGGAACUGCAGUUGUGACUGCAAGGCUGGAGUGCGGCAGAGGGGGAUGGAAUUCCGCGUGUAGCAGUGAAAUGCGUAGAUAUGCGGAGGAACACCGAUGGCGAAGGCAAUCCCCUGGGCCUGCACUGACGCUCAUGCACGAAAGCGUGGGGAGCAAACAGGAUUAGAUACCCGUGUAGUC